GCUGAAAAACCGGUUCCCGCAUGAUCACCGAAGUUAAGCAACGUCAAGUAUGGUCAGUACCGAGAUGAGUGAUAGCUUGGGAAUACCGGGUGCUGUUAG